GUUCUAUCUGUCCUGCUUAGUGGAAACACAAUUUUACCUCCUGACGAUGGCCUGUGGAAGAAUUUGGAUUUCAGUGGAAUCUCUCAAACAAAAACAUCGGCGAAAGUGCUCAGCAAAAUUACCUUUUGUUUGCUCAAGUAAUGAUUCAACAUCCGCAUUAGUUGGAGCAAUCUUUCCUCCCGCCGGGCGUCACCAAGGCCGGAAUCAUAGAUGACAAGCACGCAGCAGGCGCAGGAAUAAAAAUUAGUCGACAACCCUGAGAAUAAUCAAUCUUAUCAAGACUUAUCAAACUCAAGAAGCAAAUUGCAGAGGUGUCACUCACUUUGGAAGAAUUUUGGU